rnacentral:misc_RNA from 1 species
CGCUUCGCAUUGACUUCCACACACACACGCACACACACACACACACACGUCUUGUCGCUGUUAGCCAUUCGCCAACGCGCGCAUUUUACGUGUGCGUGCGCUUGCUUUGAACCCGCGCAACUUUCCGUUCAGCCUCUUCACAUGUCGAGCACCCCCGCCUUGAUCCAUGGCGAGUAUGUGAAUCGUAUGCUGAUACUCGCGGCUGCUGCCACCACCUUCGUCGGGUACGCAAGCAGUGUGUACUGGGAGCGCACCGUAGCACCGUAUCUGUUUCGGCGCCGCGAGUUGGCCCUGGAGCAGGAGAUUGCCGAUCUGGAGAGAGAGGCCAAAGAGAUCUGCACAACGUCGAAUCUGUACGAGCACAGCCGUCUUAUGCGUAGGGUGCUGCGGCUGCGUCAGGAGCUCGAGGCAGAACGCCAACAGCGCCUCACGUACGAGUUCUCGGUGGCUCGAGUCUUUUCGCCGCUUCUCAGUGGUGUCUCCUUCGCUUCAUGGUUUGCUCGGCCGACGCGCGACGCAGCCGCGGUGGCAAUAGCACCUGGCCGAGUAGGCAAGGCAAUAGCCGGCAACAAGCCCGGCGCCUUACCAGAUCUUUGCUCCACCACUAUCACAUCCUCCCCGACGCGGGCCCAUGCCGCCGAGUAUUCAACCACCGCUCCUCGUCGACUGCAGGUGCUCGUGGAGAGCGCGAUGAAUGCGCUCCGGUACAACGCUACCACUACUGUCAAGUAUCUCCUGCGCUUUGGAGGCGCUUUGGUGCUCCUGUACGUCUUCGGCAACCGGCGUGGGCUCAUGGCUGUUCCGCCAUCCUUCGAAGAGACACUGCGCUACUGCGCCGUCGAGGUGAUGGCGCCGUUACUCCUCAACGUCUUCAUGUACGUGCCAGCUCUCCUCUUUGCACCUGCAAGGCGCGCGUCGUUGGUCGAAACCCACGGAAGCAAGGCCGCGGGCGGUGCCGUUGGUGUCAUUCACAGCAGCUUCGCGGAAGCGAUUCCGCCAUCGUCGUCGGCAUCCUCGUUUUCUACCGUCACGAGCUCCGCGAGUGACGCCGGCACCACAGCACCGUUUCAGCGCGCAGACAUUCGCUUCUGUGCGAGGAAUGAUCUCGCGUCGUGGUUCUUGGCGUGCUACCUUGCCUGGUACUUGAUUGUGCGCGUGUUCGGUUGAUGGGUGGUGGUGGGGCUCACCGGAGCGCACACGGGAUGGGGUGUGAAGGAAUGUUUAGCAAGGGCGAAAGUCGGAAAGGAGGGGAGCAACGUCAUGGGAAAGCGCGCAAGCAGACACACAGGCGCAGAGGUGUCUGGUCGCGCCCCUUCUGGCAUGAUCAGGGGUCCUGUAUCGUGCUUUGGUGCUCUCACCCCCUCCGACGCUGCCUUUUCGCCCACGUCUUCCGGUGCUCCCGUUGCACCUCACUCUCAGGCACCUUUUUGUGCCCAGGACUGUUGCGGGCGCACGCUCUCCAUUUUUUCCGACUCUACUAAAGGACACUCCCGUGCUCUUCGAGGGGGGGUGCAGCCUCAGCCCUGUUUCUGUGGGCGGCAUACGAGAGGCGCCGCUCACCCAUCCACACAUUGCCAGUCCUCCUUCCCGUUGUGCAUGUGCUUUGCAAGUGUGUCGUUGCCACUGCGGAGCAGCUCUACGGUGUGUUGGACCCGUAAGCGGCGGCGAUGGCCACGAUGGGGUGGGGCACUCACGAUUGUUUUAGGAGCGGCAGUGCGCGGAUGCGGGAGUCAGCGUAUGUGUGUGGCCGCCUCGGCAUCGCUUCAUCAAAGGAAGGAAAAGA